rnacentral:rRNA from 1 species
UACAGAGGUCCCGAGCGUUGUUCGGAUUUACUGGGCGUAAAGCGCACGUAGGCGGAUUGUUAAGUGAGGGGUGAAAUCCCAGGGCUCAACCCUGGAACUGCCUUUCAUACUGGCAAUCUCGAGUCCGGAAGAGGUGAGUGGAACUCCUAGUGUAGAGGUGGAAUUCGUAGAUAUUAGGAAGAACACCAGUGGCGAAGGCGGCUCACUGGUCCGGUACUGACGCUGAGGUGCGAAAGCGUGGGGAGCAAACAGG